UACGUAGGGUGCAAGCGUUGUCCGGAAUUAUUGGGCGUAAAGAGCUCGUAGGCGGUUUGUUGCGUCGGCUGUGAAAUCCCGAGGCUCAACCUCGGGUCUGCAGUCGAUACGAGCAAACUAGAGUGUUGCAGGGGAGACUGGAAUUCCUGGUGUAGCGGUGAAAUGCGCAGAUAUCAGGAGGAACACCGGUGGCGAAGGCGGGUCUCUGGGCCACUACUGACGCUGAGAAGCGAAAGCUAGGGGAGCAAACGGG
rnacentral:rRNA from 1 species